rnacentral:rRNA from 1 species
UACGUAGGGUGCAAGCGUUGUCCGGAAUUAUUGGGCGUAAAGAGCUCGUAGGCGGUUUGUCGCGUCUGCCGUGAAAAUUCGAGGCUCAACCUCGAACUUGCGGUGGGUGCGGGCAGACUAGAGUGUGGUAGGGGAGACUGGAAUUCCUGGUGUAGCGGUGAAAUGCGUAGAGAUCGGGAAGAACAUCAGUGGCGAAGGCGGCCUGCUGGGCUGUUGCUGACGCUGAGGCGCGACAGCGUGGGGAGCAAACAGG